UUUUCACAAUUUUCACUUCCCCGAACACCCAAUUUCUCUCUUCCCUCGAUUUCUCUCGAUUUUCCUCUUCUUUCAGCUUUCUCUCUUCCCUUCUCCCAUUUCUCUCUUCCCUCGCCAAACACUACCUCUCUCCCGAUCUCUCCUUUUUUUUUUUUUUUUUUCAUUUUCGUUUAAUCUGUCGUUGUCGUCCUCGAAGUCUUCUCUCUUGGCUUGAGAUGAAAUUGACAUCUGAGAUCAAGAAGGAACGCGUGUUUGCAAGAAGGAACACUCACGAUUUGAGGUCUGCUAAUUUGGUAGAGUAAAUCGUUAUCUGCGUGUUUGCCCUAGACUGCCUCUCCAAGUCUCCCUUCCUUCGAAAUCUAGGUAGAAUCAUUGCACCCGAAUGAUGCGACCGAGCAAGACAAUAUUGAAAAUGCAAAACUUAUGUACAAAGAGAUGGAGAAGGCGAACUUCACAAUGGAGCACUGACACCAACCGAAAUGACAGCAACACAUGAUGACAGUGAAUACAAAGAGAAGGUCACACAAUAAACAUCCAACCAAUGAGUAGUCAAGUGAAGUUGCCGCGCAAGGGAGGAGAACGUGGAGGUUCUUGCUGAGAGACCUCAAGGGAAAAAAAGCUGAGAAAGAAAGCAUGAGGAAGUGGAAGGCCAAGGAAUCAUGUGACGCUGAGAUCAACAUGGUGUUAGGUCAAAUGACCAAGGAUAAAGGGUUUUGCAUGGUAGAGAGAAUAACAUACAUGAUGAAAGGCAGAUCAUGAAAGAGAAGCACAACUGGAACUUGAUACAAAAAAGUGGGAGGUGAAGAUGAUGAGCAAGGAUCUUGCUGGCAUGAAUGCCAUGUAGCAAGCCUACUUCCUUAAUAUUCAGAAGAAAAUUCAUAAGGCAUCUUUGAAUAAUUUCGAAGAUACAUCCGAGAAAUCUCCAUCUAACUGUUGGGUAGAUUUGCAGUUAAUCUGAUUUUAGUGGCUA